CAGUCGCCACGGGAAUACGUAGGGGGCGAGCGUUGUCCGAAGUUACUGGGCGUAAAGCGCGCGUAGGCGGCUUCUUAAGUCUGAGGUGAAAGGUUCAACGCUUAACGUGAACAGUGCCUUGGAUACUGGGGAGCUUGAGUAUGGGAGAGGGCAGUGGAAUGGCUGGUGUAGCGGUGAAAUGCGUAGAUAUCAGUCGGAACACCCAUGGCGAAGGCAGCUGCCUGGCCUAAUACUGACGCUGAGGUGCGAAAGCGUGGGGAGCGAACGGGAUUAGAUACCCCCGUAGUCCCUGUCUCUUAUA
rnacentral:rRNA from 1 species